rnacentral:tRNA from 1 species
GGUCCCUUAGCUCAGUUGGUUAGAGUGCUACCUUGACAUGGUAGAGGUCGCUGGUUCGAGGCCAGCAGGGACCACCA